rnacentral:rRNA from 1 species
GACGAACGCUGGCGGCGUGCUUAACACAUGCAAGUCGAACGAAGUGGCGAACGGGUGAGUCACGCGGAAUUAACCUGCCCUUCAGUGGGGUACAACCGUUGGAAACGACUGCUAAUACCGCAUACUGAAGGAGGGGAUUGCGUUUGAUUAGCUAGUUGGGGGGGUAACGGGCCACCAAGGCGAUGCUCAGUAGGCGGUCUGGGAGGAGGAACGGCCACCGUUGGACUGGGACACCGCCCAGACUCCUACGGGAGGCAGCAGUGGGGAAUCUUCCGGCAUGGACGGAAGUCUGACGGGGCAACGCCGCUGGAGUUAUGACGGCCUUCGGGUUGUAAAGCUCUGUUGAUCGGGACGCGGUACCGGAAUAGAAAGCCACGGCUAACUACGUGCCAGCAGCCGCGGUAAUAC